UACGUAGGGUGCGAGCGUUGUCCGGAAUUAUUGGGCGUAAAGAGCUUGUAGGCGGUUUGUCGCGUCUGCCGUGAAAUUUCGAGGCUCAACCUCGAACUUGCGGUGGGUACGGGCAGACUAGAGUGUGGUAGGGGAGACCGGAAUUCCUGGUGUAGCGGUGAAAUGCGUUGAUAUCAUUAGGAACUCCGGUGGCGAAGGCGGCUCGCUGGACCUCUUCUGACGCUGAGGCGCGAAAGCCAGGGGAGCAAACGGG
rnacentral:rRNA from 1 species